GUGCCAGCAGCCGCGGUAACACCGGCAGCCCGAGUGAUAGCCGAUAUUAUUGGGCCUAGAGCGUCUGUAGCUGGCCGCGCAAGUCCGUCGGGAAAUCCAUCAGCCCAACUGAUGGGCGUCCGGCGGAAACUGCACGGCUUGGGACCGGAAGGCUCGAGAGGUACGUCCGGGGUAGGAGUGAAAUCCCGUAAUCCCGAACGGACCACCGAUGGCGAAAGCACUUCGAGAAAACGGAUCCGACAGUGAGGGACGAAAGCCAGGGUCUCCAACCGGAUUAGAUACCCCGGUAGUCC
rnacentral:rRNA from 1 species